UGUCCUACGGGUGGCAGCAGUGGGGAAUAUUGGACAAUGGGCGAAAGCCUGAUCCAGCCAUGCCGCGUGUGUGAAGAAGGCCUUCGGGUUGUAAAGCACUUUAAGCGGGGAGGAAGGUUCGCUGGCUAAUAUCCAGCGGAAUUGACGUUACCCGCAGAAUAAGCACCGGCUAACUCUGUGCCAGCAGCCGCGGUAAUACAGAGGGUGCAAGCGUUAAUCGGAAUUACUGGGCGUAAAGCGCGUGUAGGCGGUUGUGUAAGUUGGAGGUGAAAUCCCCGGGCUUAACCUGGGCACUGCCUUCAAAACUGAACGGCUAGAGUAUGGGAGAGGAAGGUAGAAUUCCAGGUGUAGCGGUGAAAUGCGUAGAGAUCUGGAGGAAUACCGAUGGCGAAGGCAGCCUUCUGGCCUAAUACUGACGCUGAGGUGCGAAAGCAUGGGGAGCAAACAGGAUUAGAUACCCUAGUAGUCG
rnacentral:rRNA from 1 species